rnacentral:tRNA from 2 species
GGUGGCUUAUGCAAGUGGUUAAAGCAAACAGCCCAUAAAGCUGCUACCUUUUGGGUUUCGGAAGUUCAAAUCUUUCAGCCACCA